rnacentral:rRNA from 1 species
GAUGAACGCUGGCGGCGUGCCUAAUACAUGAAAGUCAAGCGAACAGACGAGGAGCUUGCUCCUCUGACGUUAGCGGCGGACGGGUGAGUAACACGUGGAUAACCUACCUAUAAGACUGGGAUAACUUCGGGAAACCGAAGCUAGUACCGGAUAAUAUAUUGAACCGCAUGGUUCAAUAGUGAAAGACGGUUUUGCUGUCACUUAUAGAUUGAUCCGCGCGGCAUUAGAUAGUUGGUAAGGUAACGGCUUACCAAGGCAACGAUGGGUAGCCGACCGGAGAGGGGGAUAGGCCACACGGGAAGUGAGACACGGUCCAGACUCCUAAGGGAGGCAGCAGUAGGGAAUCUGCCGCAAUGGGCGAAAGCAUGACGGAGCAACGCCGCGUGAGUGAUGAAGGUCUUCGGAGCGUAAAACUCUGUUAUUAGGGAAGAACAAAUGUGUAAGUAAAUAUGCACGUCUUGACGGUACCUAAACAGAAAGCCACGGCUAACUACGUG